GUUAUUUUUCCCCUCCUCUCCCAGUAGUGAGUGUGUGGAGAGAUUUUUUUUGCUAUGGAAGAGCGAGAAGAGGUGCAGAUUUCAGCUAGUGCAAAAUUGAACAAGGGGGCAAGUAAAGAAAAUAAUAAUAAUAAUAAUAAGAAGAAAAAGGCAAGAGAGAAAGAGACUUCACCCCCAUCUCCCUCUUCCUCUCCCUCGUUCCUUCCUCUGCUAACGACUUUUACCUCAGAAACAGCGGAGGGACCAACUUCAAAAGGCAGUGAGGAAGGAGCUGGAGUGUGAAAUCUGAGAAGAGAAGCAAGAUGAGAGGCUGACCGGCGCUGUGUUUGCUGUGCUGUCCAGGAGCUGUCAGGACAGCAGACUGCAACCAACAGAUGACACCUGGCAGUAAUCUUAAUCAUGGAAGAGUCUGCUGCUGAAGACAGAGGGCCUGUGAGGGGAUACACAAAAUAUAAGGCAAUU